GUUUGAUAAUGUUGACAGUUCUGCUGGCAAUAAAUAAAAUGGAGAGACAAAAAACACAUUUUUGAUAAUAAGAUGUUUACAUGUCACUAAUAAACCAACUACUCUCUUCGUUGACUCGAAUAAAGUCUGUUCUUCUAAGCUAUUUGUCGCUUGUAAAAAUAUUUUAUCUGGUGUACUCUUAGAUAAACAGUAGGUAACUAUAUCUAUGCAUUCUUUAAAACGCUUAUGUUGAUACACGAAUGACGCAAGUAAUAACCAAUAUGACAACGCAUCGCAAUAUAGUCCAAACCUGAAGCAACUAAAUGGUAUAUCAAACUGUUUAUACACAGAUUUGUUUUGUUCUCUAAUGUUAUAAAAUUUC
rnacentral:lncRNA from 1 species